UGCAUUCUGGAUGUGUCGGCCAAUGCAGUGCGAAGGUUACAAGCAGCUCACCUUCACCCUGUCGCCAUUUUCAUCAGGCCCAAGUCUCUGGAGAACAUCAUGGAGAUUAACAAACGACUGACAGAGGAACAGGCUCGCAAAGCCUAUGAGAGGGCUGUGAAGUUGGAACAAGAGUUUACAGAGUGUUUCUCAGCGAUUGUGGAAGGGGAUAGCUUCGAGGAGAUCUACAUUCGAACAAAGCACGUCAUUGAGGACCACUCUGGGCCCUACAUCUGGGUCCCUUCUCGGGAGAGACUCUAAGGAUAACCACCACCCCCCACCCACCCUCCAAAUCCUCAUCAUUCCAACCCUGCCCCACCUCCCCUUAAAAACAGCCGACUGAUCUCAUCCGUGCUACCUGCUCCUUCCUGAGCUUCUACAGCUGCUAUUGUCUCUUGCAGGACCUGACUGUUCCCGCUCCUCCUUGAUACAAACCCACACACACACACACACACACACACACAGUUUUCCUUCUUUCAAUCGCUUGGUUACGGGAUGGGCAAAGGAACUAAAACAAAAGAAAAAUUUUUUUUUAAAAAAAAAGAAAAAGGUGA